UGUAUUAAACAGCUUCCUGUUGCUGUGACAAAAUACCCGAGAGAAACAGCUAAAAAGAAACAUUUCUUUUGAGUAAAGCCUAUAAAGAUUUUAGUCCCUAGUCAUUUGCUACUAUUAUUCCUGGAAUUAUUCAUGAAGAAAAUCAUUAUGGCAGUGAGCCUGUGGUUGAGCAAAGUGGUGAAUGCAUCUGGGGAGGAGGAAUGGAGCACGGAGAGGAGAGAGACAGGAGACAGGGCGUGUGAGGCAGAGAGGGAAAGAGUUCUGGUGAGUUUUGAGUUUUGUUUUUUGUCAGGUUGACACCAGCUAGUCAUCAUCCAGGAAGGGGGAACCUCAUGUGAGGAACUGCCUCCAUCAGAUUGGCCUGUAGGCAAGUUGGUAGGGACGUUUUUCUUGACUAGUGAUCAAUGUGGGAGGGGCUAGGCAAUCGGAAGUGACGUCACUUGGGACAGGUGGUCUUGGCUUAUAUAAAAAGGCUUGCUGAACCAGUGGCGGGAAGCAAGCUAGUAGCAGCGUUCUUUUGCAGUCUUUGCUGCCACUGCUGCCAGGUUCCUGCCCGCCUAGACUUCCCUCCGCGAUAGACUAUGUUGUGGAGCCGUAAGUGAAGUACCCUCUCCGCUCCUCACCUUGCCUUUGUUUCUAGUGGUUAUCGCAGUGAGAGAAGCCCAACUAGGACACUUACUAGGUCAUUAUUUAUGAGGUGAUGCACGUAGUUGGCUUCUGCGUUUAAAUCAUGUAGAUGGCAAGUCAGUAAACUUCCAUCAACAAUUCCCGUGUGGGUGCUGACUGACCUCGUGCUUCAGAGUACACAAUACUCUUGCAGAGGACCCACGCUUGGCUCCCGGCGCCCACUCCAAUGGUUCCUUGCUGCCACGAAUUCUACCUCUAAGGGAGCCGAUACCCUCUUUUGGCCUUCACAGACAGCCAUCUGCGUCCACAUGCACACACCUGUAAACAGUAAUACAUGUCAUUAAAAAAAAAUAUCACACCUGACAUUUUUUUGAUGUGGCUUUUCUGUAGAAUUUCUUAGGUUGAAAAUGAAAAUCACUAGUCCUAAGGAUAGCAGCGGGGGAAUUACCUCCUUAGGAUCAAAAAUUUCAUUCUUGAGCUAGCCGUAGGUGUGUCCUGAAGAGUAAUGAAGUGGAGGAGAAUCACACCCGUGUGACCUGCUCACUGCAGUCUCGACGUUUGAUUCAGAAAAAUGGAUUAUUUGAUUUGUCGCGCUAGGAAAAAAAAAAAGCAUUAUUCUGAUUUUACAACUUACGCCAAUGUUCCAUUCCGGAUUGAAAAUUAAGUGUGGAAAAAUUAUAUAUGACACAUAUAUCAUGUCUGUAAUAUAAUAAUAUAUAGUAUAAGGGAAUGGUAUGGUGUCUUCUAGGCAGGAUGCCAUCUCUUUAGCCUGAAUCAACCCACAGCGCAAAGGACUUUAUUGGCAGGAAAGACAUCUAUUUGCCAAAGCAGAUCAUAGAACCAGUGGAAAAGCACUUCUCCAACAAGGAGAAGACACCUGUGCAGCUUUGACUUGUGAAGGGCCAGCCUCCACAAGGCUCGGAGGACAUGUCACGUGGUAUGGAAAUGGCCACCAAAGCUACUAUCAAAUCCUAAAGGACCACAGUACUAAGUGUUAAUGCUGAACCUACAGACCUCUAAAAAUGCCCAUCUACUGCUGCUGGCCAUGUAAACUGGCCUCAGCACUUUGUAAAACAGUGUGUACGUAGUUCCAUUUAACAGAAGAAAAUUCCGGCAUUGGUUAGAAUGAAUGUCAGAUUAAUAGCUAUUUCCCUGGAUGAUGAAGAUGUUGUAGAAGGUUCUAAUGCACUGUAACGUUUUGUCCCUGAAGCUGGAUGACAGAUACUUGAGCAUGUUUGAACUCCACACACGUUUUAUUCAUUCCCUUGUGUGCGUGAUUAAGAUCACAGUGAGACCCAAACCUCUUACUGGACCAGAGCCAGCAGCAUUCCUUUCCUUUAAAAAUUAUUGUUUGAGAGUGUAAUAGUUACAUCACUUUCUUCCUUCUCUUUAUUACCCCUUUGAUCCAUCCUAUAUACCCCUCAACUGCUCUCAUUUAAACAUGCACACACACACACACAUAUGUUUUUUAUACAUGGAAAUAUAAUCUGCUCAAUCUAUAUAAAGUCACUUGUAUGUAUGUCUUCAGUGUUGACCAUUUGGUAUUGGGUAACCAAUCUGGCAUGCUCUUCCCUGAGGAAGACCGUUUCUCCCACUCUCUGUACUCCUUAGUUGCCUCUAGUUCUUUGUCUUGGCUUGAGGCCUCACCACCUUUCCCCUGAUCAUGUCAGUGUGUCUUUGGGCAUUGUCCCUGUUCAGGUCAUGUCUAGGCAGCUGUGUCCAUGAGAUUUCACGGCUGUAGCUUCUCUGACAUAUUCUAAGAGACACCGUCUAGCCACUUCCUGUUUCUCUGCCUCUCACAGUCUUUCCAGCCUCUCUUCUGCCAGUGAUCCCUGAGCCUUUGGUGCAGGAGUGUACUAUAUGUAGAUGGAUCUCCUGGGGUAGGGCUUCAUAGCUCUGCACCUUGAUUGGUUGUGGUUUUCUAGUCUUAUUUGCCUCUAUUGAAAAGAGACAUUUCUUUGACGAGGGAUAAAGACCACACUUCUCUGUGGGUGUAAGGACACAUUUAAAAUGUAGUUGGAGACGGUGCUGGCAUAGUAAAAUGGUGGUUGUAGGCUCUCCUCAAAGAUCACGGAUUCACUAAGUAUGAGUAGUUUGACUAGCUUUCCAGUACUAGACGUGAUUAAUCUUCUGUUAACUGGGCCCUACACCCACUUAGAGAGGUUUUGGUAUUUGUGCCACUUCUGAAUCCUUACAGGUACUGUGUCAUGCUGGUCAUCACUGUGGUCCACAGUUUAUCAUAGCUAGGUAGGACUGUUUCCUCCUUUGGAAGUUUACGUGACACCUUUGGGUGCCGUGAAAGCAGUCCUCACGGAAGAGGCUUCUGCAUCAGAUCCAGCUCAGAUCCUCUGGGUGCUAUCUUCAGCCACAGGGGUUUACUCUCACUUUUGGGGGGCUUGGGGGGAGCAUCCAAGAACAAUAGCUUAUAAUGUUUGUGCAUUGUCAGCCUAGAUGAGAAAAUUUUAUUUAAACUAUGCAUGUAUAUGAAUAUACAAACCUACAUGUAUUAUAGAUGUGUUUUUAGGGACACAGUUAAUAUGAUUCUUGACUUUACUGUGAUCAUACCCUCCUCUUGCUUUCUAUAUUUAUCUCCUUCCCCAAUUCUUAAUUAAGACUCUGAUUUUUUUCUCCUUUCUCCCUUCAGAUCACGUGCACUCCGCUAUUCCCCCAUUGCUCCUCCCCCAAGCAUUUCCGAAUGCAUCAAGCACUUGCCUAUUAUUUAUUGAACUUAUUAUGUUCCCUACACACUGGCUUCAUGCCCUCCAUAUGUGCAGGACUUUUUGCUGUGUACGAGAAAAAGACACAUAAUCGCUUGAGCUUUUAAAUGUCUUUGCCUCUUUCUGUUUUGCAUUCGUAGUGCUGAGGAAUGAAUGCUGGGUAAACGCAGUGCCACUGAGCCACCCCAAGCCGGAUUCUGUGAACAUCUACAUUUAGAAAAUUCUCAUCUAUUCAUUAUGUAGUGGGUAGAGUGUGAAACGAGGAAAAUACAAAACUCGUUUUGUCCUUCAAAGAAUUAGAAUCUUUCUCAGGAUCUGAGGACACAGAUAGAGGGUCCACGGAGGCCACUAAAUAGAUCCUCAGAACCUUAAUAACAAGGGCAGUGAGUGUGGGCGCUGGGGAGGUGGCUUAGCAGGUAAAAUAUUUGCCAAGGAAGCAGGAAGACUGGCCUUUGUAUCCCCAACACUCAGGCAAAUGCUGACUUAAAUGUAGCCCCUAUGCACAGGAGGCAAAAGCAGGGGUCUCUGGAGCAUGUUUGACUUCCACAUUCACCCACAUACAUGCAAGCAUGCGUGUGCACAUGAAAAAAAUGCACACUCACAUGCAUGUAAAAAUGACAUGAGAGCAAAUAAAAUAGGUGUGUAAAUGCAGGACUGCCCAGGGAGCACACUCUCAAUAAGAAGCCAUGCACGGCAAGCGACAUAGCAGUGUGCCUCUGUAUUCAGUCAGGCACAUUUGUGUAUAGUGUCAUUAGAGUUUUAAGUCCUCUUGUCGCAGAAGAAUGCAUAAACACUCAGCAAAGUACUUUCCAUUGAAAUUCAACAGGCACAUAGGCAGUGAUGGGUUUCACGGUUAUAUCUACUCUCAACAGGAAAAUACAUGCACGUCUGUACAUGGCUUUCCGACGUGGAGGAGACCAGACUCCCCUGUUUUAGUUUUUACAUCUCAUUAUGUUCUACUCUAGCACAUCUCCAUUCCAGUCUUGCCCUCUCACCUUGGCACGCUGACGUUCUUUUAUCCCCUUCCCCUCGUUUUAGAAACAGAACAGCCCAGGAUUAUCGACUCAACUGUCGUGUUGAGAAGAAUCGGUGGCUGGCAUCCAGGAAUAGGAGAAAUAACACUCGUGGUUUCUGCACUCCCUUCUGGGGCUGGCUGUGGAAGCUGAGCGUAGCUAUGGAACCAAAGAACUGUGAUGUCUAAACUGUAACACUUUAAAUCGGGGCUGUUUUAGAUGAACAGGAACACAUGUCAUCUCGGGUCUGACCACACUGAAAUUCACUGGCAAGGCCACCCAAGGGUGGUGGCAGGCCCCGAGACUAGGAUGAAUGAGGAAAGGGGGCCAACGUAUGGGCAGUUAUCUGGGGAGAGAGACAGGGGUGAGUUACCGUGACCACUGGCAGGGACAGAUGCCUUGGAAAGCUCACAGCAUCAGCCAGUCUCUUUGGGCCUCAGUGUUAGCCUUGGAAGGGAGUAACAUGAGUGUGUGCUGGGACUUACAGCAUGCCUGUUUCUUGAGGCAUACGUAUGUUGGUGUAUAUGUGUGGCUGACAGAGAUACUCUCAACCAACACCCCUUGCUUCCAGCUCAUGGGCUACAACUGCACUGUUUUUGUGCUGGCAUUGAUUUUCAUAGUCAAUCCAUUGCCCACCUCAACGGAGUGGACUUAAAAUUGAUCAUGCCCUCCAGGGUGUUUCCUGGUGACGUCUUCUCAGUUGAUAACAGUUGAUGAGGUUGCAUGCCUGGGUCACAAGGACCCAGGAGAGCACUGGUUAGAAGCUAUGCUUGAGGCAGGGGGACAGUCAGAGGAGAGGGAGACCUUGGGAAGGGGCCGAGAGAAGAGACAACGGUCCAUGGGAAAGAGAAAGUCUCCAGGAACUCGGGACUUGCACAUCUCUUUAUCCCAUACCGUGUCAUGUCACUCUUUCAGCGUGCACACCGAUUCUCUGCCAUGUGUCAUUCCUGUUGCUGGAGACCGCAAGGAACAAGGCAGACAACAAGCACACACAAGCUGAGACGACAUCAGAGAAGGAAGCGUCCCUUAUAGUUCAGUUGGAGGCUUGGUUAGUAUGCAUGGAACAUUCACUCUGCAUUGGGUGUCGCCUUUUCUCCUGUGAGUGUAUCCUAGAGCUGUUGACCCCUCACCCAGAAGUGGUACACCAUAAGAGAAAUCAAUACCCCAUCUUAUAGACAUGGAAAAGGCACAAAAAGAGUAGUCAAGCCAAUUUCUAAGUCACACCAGUAAGGGUAGGGUCAAGAUUUAAACGCAGACCGCAUAAUUUUCCACCUUGCUCCCAGAGACAAAAUAUUAUGUAGCUUAGUGAUUCUCAACCUGUGGGUUCUGGAUGACCCUUUCACGGAGGGUGCAUAUCAUAUAUUGACAUUGCUAAUCAUAACAGCAGCAAAGUUACAGUUAGGAAAUAGAAACGAAAUAAUUUUAUGGCCGUGGGGGUCACUACAACACGAGGAGCUACAUUUAAGGGUCAUAGUUGUAGGAAGGUUGAGAACAACUGUUGUAGCUCAGGAUGACCUCGAACCUCUGGUCCGCCUGCUUGUACCUCUGGAGUACUGGGUUACAGCCUUGCACCACUACGCCCUUUGUGCAGUGGUGGUGAUUGAACCCAGAGACUCACAGAUGCUAGGUGAGUAUGUUACUGACUGAAGUGCAUGCCCAGUCACCAUGCUACGCCUGAUUUCAUGUUCUGAACCAUCAUGCCACUGAAAUUCACCUGACUUGAGGACAAUGGGUAUAAAAUGCUGGAGGUUGUUGAAUCUGGCUGGGGUUUGAAACCCGUGUGAAAUAAGCUACCCCAGUCAGCCCUCCCUAAGGAAGAGGGGGCAUCUGGGCCAUAAAUAAUUAGAAAUACUCAAGACAUGAAGAUCUGAAGACAGAGUUCCCCAGGGAAGAUCAAAGAUCCUGGGGCAGAAAGGAAGCUGAUGGUUUGAGUGUAAGUGGAGUGGUUAGGAGUGUUUGAUAAAGGGAUCCAAACUUAAUCAUUUUUUAUUUAUCUCUGUGUGUUCUCAUUUCUCCUGUGCAUUCAAAUGUGUGAAAUGAAGAGGUUGUCAUGGAGGGCAGAAGACAACCUCAGGCUUAGGUCACCUUCCAUCCCGACACGGGUUUCCUUUUCCUUUGUUCCCUCGGGAGAUUUUCUCAUAUCUAACUCCCAUACCUCUGAGGAGUGCUGGGAUUAGUUUUGUGCCACCGUUUACCUAUCUACACGAGUUCUGAGAAUUCAAACUCAGAUGUGUGUGCUUGUGUGGCAAGGACGUCCUCAGCUGGGAAUACAAGCAGGAAACAGAACUCUGGCUUCCUACCUGGCCCUUCUUUAUUUAUGUGGGGAGAAUGACAGGGCCAACUUUACUAUGAAAUUCAGAGAUCACACAGUGGCAACGAACCCGACUGUCAUCAUUAGCAACAUGUCCACAGUUCUCACAGCUCAGCCGGCUUACCUUUCUGUGUUUGGCACACUUGUGUCACUAGUAAUGAACACGCCUGUACCACCGGUUAGCACUUAAUUGAGCAGGGACCUCAAAACCAACAUAUCACACUUGUCAUUUAGAGAUACGGUAUUUAUCUUACAAGGUGUCAAUUAUCCUCAUUCUGUAGAUAAGGGAACCGAAGGUCUCAGAGACUAAAUAGUAUCCCCAAGAUCAACACUUCUAAUGAGGGAGAAACCAAUUCUAACCCAGUUUUCCUUUCUAGACCACACUCCCCUUACAAGCUGCGGACCCUGCCCACCCAGGCAGGUAGGGUGCAGUGCCUCCUCCUGAUGUGAACUUAUCUAUACAAACACACUGCUCUAAUUUCUUGUCCGAGGCCACAAUAAACACAGAAACAGAAAGCAAUUUAAAGAGGAAAGAGGUCCGUUUGGUUUCUCCAUCCAAGGCACAGUCUAAUCCUGAAGGAAGUCAGGGCAGGGAUUCAAGCUGGAGCUUGAAGCAGAAACCACAGAGGAAUGCUGCAAACUGGUCUACUCUGGCUCCUGACCACUAGCUUUCUUUUACAGCCUAGGACCUUGUACUUAGGCACAGUGCUGCCUGAAGUGAGCCAGGCCCUCUGGUAUUAAUCAAUAAUUAAGAAAAUUCUCCGUAGAUAUGUCCUCAUACCCAUCUGAUCUGGGCUAGCCCCAGCCGAAAGCCUUUCUGCUCAGAUGAGGCUAGGCUGGGUCAAAUUGAUAAUGAAAGCCAGCUAGGAUAAAACACUGUGUCAAAUCUCUCCUAGAAGUAUGAGGUGGAGCGAGGAGAGCAAGCUGGCCGCCAGACAGUGAUGAAAAAAGGAGAUGUGGAGAACGUUCCUGCCCUCAGGUGUCUGAACCUUGUGGGUAAAAGCACAGCUUCUUAGUGCUCUUAAGCUGUGCAAACUUGGCCUGAGAGAAUCCAGAAUAAAGCUGAUUGCAAACUUGGUGCGUAACCGAGAAAAUAAAGACAUCAUUUCCUGACUGAUUUGGACUAAGAAAAGAUGUAUUUACUUGCAGUUUAUUAUGCGGAGUGUGACAGGCACACAUUUGUGCUUUUUAUUGAAUGAUGACUUACUCCAUACAGGAAUCGGUGCAAUUUGUAAUGCAGAUUAUGUUUUUAAACAGAAUUAAAGAAAAAAAAGAGGGUGCAAAUACACUGAUGGCUGUCACGUGACCGGCCCGGCACUUCUCAGAAAGUGGCUGGAGCGUGGGCGGUGACGACAAAUAUAUACCCUCGAUGCACAAAUGUGAUUUCUAAAGAAUAAGAUUCUGGGCAGCUUCCAAUUCAGUCAGGCGGAUUUAGAAGAAGAAAUCCACGGCUAAGAAAAGCCAAGGAGCCGAAAAUAGCAGGAAUUGGAGCGGAUCACUCCCAUUAACUGCCGAGGCACCUCUAGACACUGCAAGAAGCAGUCUGGCUAAAACCAGGAUGCGCCAUGCCGGGGUCCAUGAUGAGGCUCUGCCAGACUCCUGGAGUCAUACACUCAGGCAUUACUUAGUGCGUUUAAUCAGCAGAGGUGGGACGCUGGGAAAGACGGGGGAAGCGCCGCUCUGCGGCGAAGCCAAUCAGAAGAGCACCUGGCUCGAGGCUUAUUUUCUCAGUAAUGAGUUUUGUGACCUCGGUGGCUUCAAGGCACCCAGCCAGAUCUCAUCCUGUGAUUCAUUUGUGCAAUUCCUUCAGGGGGCAGACUUGGGUUUUCCACUCCAAGUGGAUUUGUGAAUUUACGGGCGGGUAGGAUUCCGUUUUGUGGUUUUGUUGUUGUUGUUAUUUUUUCUUUUCUUUUUCUUCUUCUUUUUCUCCUUUUUCUGGAUCUUCAACCACCAUAUUAAUUUCCCCUAAUAUAAUGCACGCAUAAAACAGGCUUGUUUCUUUUAGAGGAAGGUGCAUCGUGCCAGCUGCUCCCCUGCCCUCCUCUAACGGUUUGGACAUCAGAGUUAAGUUCGUCCUGAGAUACAGCCACGGAGGGGGGUUCAUUCAUGCUAACUUGACUUCAGCUGCCCGUGAGUCAUAUUAACAGCAAUGUGUGACUAAAGAGGCAGCCAUGCAGAGACUGGAAAAUAAGUGGAAACUCUUCUUGUUUCAAACAUUUAUGUGCCCUGGUGGAAGGCAGAGCUGGUCACAGCAUGAUUUUCAAAUCACCUUACAGUUUUUUCAUCAUUUAAAACUGGACCCUGGUAUUUUAUUAUGGCAACAAGGAACAUAACCAGCACAGCAUUCAUCCAGCACUGUGCUCUAGAGCAGACAUACAGAAAGACCGUUUAUAGGCAGCCAUGACGGUUUAUCUUCAUUGUCGACAUGACUGGAUUUAGAGUCACCUAGGAGAUUGGUGAAGCAUACUCCUGAAUGUGCCCCGGAGGGUGUUUCCAGAGAGAGUUAACUGAGGCGGGAAGACCCACCCUGAAUGUGGGCAGUUCUAUCCCUGGGGCUGGUGCCUGGACUGAAUGAAAGAAGAAAUGGAGGCAGCCAGCAGAGCUGGAUUUCUGUCUCUUCUUCCUACCUAGUGACUUGAUGUGAUGCUCUGUGCGAUGAGAACAUCACAGCACAAUGAACUCAGUAUAGCUGUGAGAAAUAAACCCUCCUUUAAGCUGUCCCCGUUGGCGGCAUUUGAUCACAGUGAAGUAAGGACUAAAUAAAGGUCAUGGAUUUAC